AGAGGGAAAAAACAAUGGGACAUGGUGGACCCUGGAUUCAAGCUUUGCGCUCUAGUUCUGAAGAGAGCAGCAAGUAGACCAAGGGAGAGUCGAAUCAGACCUCGCCGCGAAGGAUAUGGACUUGGAGCGAGGAAUUGUAAGUGCACAAGGUGUGGUGGGUCUGGUCAUUUCAGUAAUAUUGUGAUAACACAGUAGAUAGCGUUCGGAGAGAGUUUCGAUGAAGGCUUCGAUGAAAAUGUUGGUUAGCAGCCGGUUGCCUCAACAGAUGAUGAAAAUGAUGGUCAACAGCCGGUUUCAUCAAAUGAGGAUUUUCACGAGGUUCCAAAUGAUGAUGGUCAACAACCGCAUGAUUUUGAUGAUGAUCCAAAAUAUCCUCCAAAUGAUGAUUCAAGUGAGGCUCUAAAUGGUGAUCCAAGUGAGGCUCCAAAUGGUGAUCCAAAUGAGGCUCCAAAUGGUGACCAACCUUAUGUUGUUGUGAGUUCUGCUAGGUAUGUAAAUCUUGCAAAUACUACUGUACAUUUAUCACAUGACAUUAUCUCAUUACCCUUUAUGUUUUGCACAGCUCUACGGUAG
rnacentral:rRNA from 1 species